GCAGUCUCACCACUCCUAGAAAGGAAAAUCCCUCCCAGAUUAGAGCCUGGAUUGAUUAAAAACAUGAUUAGAAGUCAUCCAAGCAACUGUUGACAGUAAAAGGAAAUCCGGCUUGCUGUCUUGAGCCCUUCAUAAAAAAUUGGCUUGGAGAUCAUGCCACUGAAUUUCUUAUAUAAUAAACUCCAUGCCCUCCUCUUUAGGAAAGUUAUUUAAAGUAGCCUUUCAUUUAAGGCUGUAUGCCUGGUUUUUCUCUCAUUCCCCUCAGCUCACAGCUAGCAGAUAUCUGCUGACCAUCCUGUAUCCACAUUCAUCCUGCAGCUUCGCUGAAACUUUAAUAUAUGAAUAAAGUGCCAUGCUGACGUGUAAUGUAUGACAGCUGUCUUUGUGAGGAAGCUGUGAAGCACCUUGUUACAGCAGAGUGUAUUUCACCUGAAAAGCCUCCUGCAAAGUGGCUCCCACUUAACUGCUCAAGUUCUCUGUGCUUGUAGCUCACUCAGUUUGCUGUCAAACAAGUAGAGGGAGAUGUGCUUGCUGUAGGAAGGUAGCAGCCUUUAGGUCCUUUCAAGACACAUCUUAAUGGUGGUGGAUUUUUUUUUAUUGACAUCAUCCACAGAGAAGUUAAAUUCUUUCAGAACUUGGGAGGCCCUGACCAACUUGAAGGUCAAUACGAUAUCCAGGCUGGUAGUUCAGUGUGCAGAUUUUAUUCACACCUCAGGGAGUGGUGCAGCAGCUAGAGCAUGGAUGUUACUUCUGAAUUAAAGGAAUAGUGCUGGGAAGACUCACCUCUUCAAUUUCUGUGGGCAGCAAGUGCAGUUGGAUUGGUUUAGCAUUAGUGUAACUCCACAGGAUUUCCUGUCUAAGCAGUAUUAGAUGGCAAACACAUCUAAACUCCUCAGUCACAGACACACUUAAUUAGUAUGGAUCAAAGCAAACUACUUUCUUAAUACUUUUCCCCUCCCUGUCCUAAUUACCCCGAAGUGCAGCACUGGGCAUGUCAGGCGGCAACUUUACUGUGCAUGUGAAGAAAGCUAAGGACAGUCUUGGUUAAUUUGCCCAAAAGUUCAUUUGGUAGCAUGGCAUUAAACUGCAAAGUCUCAUGGAAUAAAUAACCUUGCUGGUGUGUUCUGGUUCAGCUGGGAGUUUCUGAGUUCCAGGCAUGAGCAGUUUGGGGUGAUCUGACUGCAAGGGUCCCUUAAUGACCUGUAUCCCCUGUCACUCUGGGUUCAUCAGCCUGACCUGACAGUGGGCCAGACUGAAAGUGAAUCUGACUCAGAUGUGAGCACUUUAUCACUUUCCUAUGGAAUUAGGCAGGCAGCAGAACGUGGAGGCUGUGCCCCCUCUUGCUUUUGAGCAGCUCCAUGCUGGCUGCAGGACAGCAGUACCAGACCCCAUGUAAGAGCAGGAGUGCUCUGAGCAGGUAACUUCUUUGGAAGCCAAGGCUGAGUUGAUAUGUCAACAUUUUGGGAACAAAUUUGAGCUGCCAAGGCAUUCAUAGCAGAAAAAUUCAUUAUGUCAUGUAGGCUGUGGCACCUUUUUAUCUGACAAAAGGAGCCCAAAGCCAGAAUUGCUUUAUUGUCAGGUCCUGGUCCUGGUGCGGUGAGUAGAUAGGUAAACUGAGCCUUGAUCUCCCAUAGUCACCACAUGGAAAAUUCCUGUGAAUUCUCCUUUACUAGGCCUGUCCUGGUCACCAGUGCUCAGACACCAGCAGAGAUUCCUUGUGUAGAAAGUCAAAAUUGUAAUUUGUUCUUGAGCUAUUUACUUCUGCUUGGGGAAGUGCAAGUUCCACCAGAGCUGAGUGUUGGUGGAACAACAGAGCUUUAUCCUGGAGUAGGGAGCAAGAUUCAAGUAUCCCAGACUGUGCACAAAUACAUAACUCUGUCUUAUCUGGCAGAUUCUUCUGGCAAGAACAAAAGUGGAAAACAGACUUUAAUUUUCAAAGAAGGUCUUCUCACAAGGAAUUUUUAAUGCAAUUUUCUUUUCUCUAGAUUCGUCUGAGCUUUUCUAGGGAAGAUGCUCAUUGACUAGGUCAGUGAAUAAUUCACUCUCAACAUUUGGCCAGCAGCUAUGGGAAUUUGUAUGAUAUUAUUACGUUACUUAUCACACUCUAAUUUUUUUCCCCACUGCUUCCAGGAGGAAGGUUUCCAAUCAAUAAAGUAUGAACUAAGCUUAGCACCUGCUCCACCUUCCAUGAGCUUCCAAGAGGGUUUGCCAGACACGUCUGCUCAGGCAGAGGCAAGGAUGGACUGAAGGGAGUGGAGUUUGAAGCCUUCGUGAAAUACCUUUUCUGUCACUCUCCCUGUAUAAACUGCUUGUCAAACAACUCCAGGUUUGUGGCAACUUGUGCUGUGUUUGUGCAGCUGGACAGAUCACCACGUGAAAGACAGGAGGGGGAAGGACCAAGGAGGUUCAAAGUUAACUAAGAGCAGUUCUUGUGAACAUAAAUAUAUAAAACUGGGCUCCCAUAUUGGUUUUGAUCAGAUUUGGUGAAUACCUGCUGAGUUUAUCAAAAGUUGUCAUUGCUUAGUGUAUUUGAAAAAUAUGCCUAUGCUUUGAUGUUGAUGGUGUAUUUGCUAUAAAACCUGGGCCUGUAUUGCUGCCCUUCCCUGGAAGGUGUCAGCGUUAAAAACAGGCUCAGGCUGCUGAAAGCAGCUCUGAGGCUCCCUGGAAACCAGGCUGUGCUCCUGCUUUUUUGCACAUGUGAAGUGUGGAGCACGGAAUACAGUCCCAAACUGGAUUGUGGACACCUUGCAAAGAGGGGGCAGGAAUUAAGUCACCUGUUUGAUCCCACAUAUAUCAGGGGUGAACAUCUGCGAGGGGGUGUCCCAUAAACAUCAUUAACAGGACAUUGCUGUCACUGAUUUUAUUCAGUCUCCUGAAUAAAAUAAUAAUCAACUUCUAAUAAUAUAAUAUCAUAAUUUAAUAAUAAUAUAAUAUAAUAAUAUAAUAAUAAUAUAAUAUAAUAAUAAACUUCUCUAGUCCAGUGCUAGAUGAAACAAAGUGGAAGUGGAAUGAUUGGCAGCUGGAAGCUGGAUAUACCCAGGGAGGUGGUGCCCCAGCAGCAGUUCCUGUGAUGGGAUGUGGGUGUCUUGGGGUGUAUGGCACUGACAUUUGCCUGUGUGAAUUCACAUUUGGCUUGACAACUAUCAACCAACUGCACAAGGUGUCUUGACAUUGUUUUCUUGGGGAAAAAAAUAAAAGGAUAUGGAGGAGUGUAAGGUAGAGGAACUUAACUGGCUAAAAUACAGAAUAAGCUAAUGAGUCAUAGCAGUGAUUUAAACAAUGUACCAGUACUUCUGGGAAAAGAACAGAAGGCCUUAAAUAGUCAUUGGAAAAGCUGAGGUUGGAAAAUACCCAGUAGUAUAACAUAUUGCUCCUAUGAAUCUGAAGACAUGCCACCUUUCAAACUUGGUAGCUCAAGGUGGAUGCUGAACUUAGCCUCAAUUUAGGAAUAAGAAUUGCUGAUCAAAUGCAGGGGGGAAAUACUGUUAUUAAAAAGAUGUCAGGAUUUUUAUUUUAAGCAGAUUUUGGUAGAAGGGGAUGAAAAAAAGCUGUUUUGUUCUGAUGGGUAUUUCUUAAAAUAAAAUGUAGAUGGCAAUCAGGUAAUGCAUCUUAAGGGAUAGUGAUGUUACGACUUGCUUAUGGAAAUUGUGAAGUGUCAGUGAAUUCAGCUUAAAGAUUGGAAUCUCCAGCUUGUUCAAAAUGAAUAAAUGAGUCCUCAUUUACACAAUGCCAUCUUAAGAACAAAUCUUACCUACCAGGAGAGGUAAUUGCUCCCAUUAGUUCAGAUGUGCUCUCCUCCUGCUCAAGAAAACUUCUCUGCAGACACCCACAACGGUGCACACAGACUGCUGCAAAGUGAAGUAUUUCUCAAAAGGAGGGUAACACAGAAGUGACCCUCCAUUCCCACUGGUGUCCUGGGUGCCUUAGGGAAGACUGUGGAGGUUGUGCUGUCAUGAAUUGGGGUAUGAGCAGUUUGAGAAGAGUACAAAACUCACUGGGUAGUUGAAUAGUUAUGAGAAUUAUUUACUGGAAUGAUGGAGUCUCUUCUUUUUUUUUUUUUUUCUAUUGCAAAUGGGACAUUUCUAUGCUGACACUCAUUCCAGCACAGGCCCAUCUUAAGGAUUCUUGGUAAAAUGGACAGUUAAAAGCUUUUAUUCAUGCUGUGGGAUUAAUAAUGUCUGUACUUGACCAUGUGUGCUGUAAUUCUUUUAAUAGCUUCAUUCCAUUAUCAACUAUUUAUUAAAAAGAUUUCACCACAGAUAUGGGCUUUAUGGAGAUUACUGUGCACUAUACUUAAUUACCAGAUGUUCAGUAUGUUUACAGUAUAUCUGGUAUUCAAGUAAACUUCUCCGUGUGAAAACCAUCUAAAAUGAACGGUUAAAAUACCUCUGUAAAGCUUUGUAUUAUAAUAACUGGAAAUGGAAAUUCCAGCUGGGCAGUGUUAUGAAACUAAAACUACAAAUUUUCAGUCCUGCUCCAAAACAACACUAUUAAACUCCAGUAAAAAUGUGUUUUGCUGUCUGAAUUUACCUUAUGCAUUCAGUCCAUCAGAUAAAACAUCACCCAUGUGUUUUUCAUAUUCUUUUUAGUUAGUUUAUUGCUUUCUUUCAUCAAAACUAUACAAACUCAACUGUAUGCUCAACUUUGAAACCAAACUUGGGAGUUUUAUGGUUAGGAAGUUCUAAAAUUAAGACAUGCUAAAGUCCAGGACAAGUGCUUUGCAUUGUCUCACUGCAAUCACGUAGCUUUCUUAAAAUUCUCUUUUCCAGGCAGUUUUUUAUUACUUAUUAACUCUGAUCUCUUUAAAUCUACCCCUUUUGGAAACAUAUAACUAGCAAAGUUAUCUCAGCCUAAGGCCAGUCUGAUAUAAGCUCAACUCACCACCUUCAAAGCAGAAACACUUUUCGUGUCUCAAGAAGUUGGCUGAUCCAGAAUCUUUCUGAUUGUGAGUCUACUUUCAUUCCUAUUUUACAUCACUCUGUACUGGGCUGACAUUGUUUUUCCACUUAAAUAAUCCUUCUUCCCUAUUAUUGAUUUUGGGCAAUUGUAGUAUUUUAGACUCCCUGUUGAGUCUUAUUUAAUCCUAAGCUAAGUAAGUCAAGCUGUUUUCCAGUCUUUCUAUUCCUCUGGUAACAUGUUUUCUGGUUUUCAUCUUUCUAUGACCAGAACAGCACACAGAUAUUCUCAUGCACAAAGUCUCAUGAGUACCCUUGUAAUAAAUUUCAUAAUUCUUUUUCAGGGAAACAUUAAUGAAUUUCAAUAUAUCUUUCCAUAGCUGCAUCAUAUCAGCAAUUCAUAGUCAACUUGUGGUCAAUUAAAGAAACCAGAUGACUCUGUCCUCCUCACUUCUACCUUAAGAACCCCUAGUCUGAAUCCAAAAUACUUAUCCCUCCACUCUCUGUAGAUGAUAGCACUCUGUAUUUCACUGUAUUUUCACUGAACACACCUUUGAUUUCUCCCCUCCCAAACGUGCUGCUGUGUCACACUGUUGUUAACAUUAAAUUAAGUCUUUCUGCAAUUGCCUUUUUGUUACACUUGCUACACUACUUACCAAAGCCAGCUCUGAAGUUCCAGUGAUUUCAUGGCAAACACCCUUGUGCUGAGAUAACUGAAAUAUCUACAGUGCUGGUGCUUUCCUCCGUUUUUGUCCGCUGCAGAAAGAGCUGGAAUAACCCAAUUAUUCAACCUAAUUCUAUAAUUACAAUACUAUGUAUGACUGCUGUCAUUCAGCUCUGUGUUUCUGUCUCUGGGUGCUCCUGGCAAGAACAGAGAAAUCCAUCCUGCUGCUUCAGUGAAACUUUUCAGUCUGAACCUCAGCUGGUUUGCUUUUAACCUUCCUCCAAACCCAACACACGAGCAGUGACUGGUGCUAUCUAACACCUCUUUAAUUUCUGUAAAUUUAGGCCUGGAUCUGCUCUCAGUGGCACAAAGAGAAGUUUUAUUGUUGACAUUAAAGAGAAUGGAAGCAGGUGAGCUCUGAGCCAUGACUGAUACCUCAACACAACCCCUUCAGCCCCAGGCCUGAUUAGUCCUUUAAGAUCUGCAUAAUAAGGACUUGAGGGUGAGAUUUCAUCCUCUUCCUGUUGGCUUCUCAUCCACAGAACAGGCUUCUUCCCUUGCCACACUUUAUUAAAAGGGAUAGCACCCCAGACAGAGCAUCUAAAGGGAUUAUCACAUAGCAAACGCAAUUACCUAUUUCUCAGCAUGUUGCCAUUAUUUGCAAGUGAAACAUGAUAGGCUUGAUCCCUGUGUUGAGUGUCCUCCACUGUGAUGGCUACAAAUUUCAAAGGUCUCAAAUCAUCUGACAUAAAAAAUGAUAAACAAAUCAAGUAUAGAGGCUCAGCUAAAUUCUUAGUAGCUUGUGUUUCAAAUGUUUUAGUUUAAGGACUUUUAUUUGCUUUGCAAUGGAUGUGGAAGCAGUGUAACCAUGCUUUGGAGGAAUUAUUUGUCCAUAUCCCAGUAGGAUAACUUCUGGUUGUACAUGAUUUGUACCAGAAUAAUUAUAUCAGUGGUGAUGCAAUAAAGAAGACCAAAAGUACUAUGCACUCCCACCAAAGCUGUUCCAUUCAGUUCUUGCCACUAAUAAGUGCUUGAGACUUACUUGGGACUUCAGUCUUUUGAAGCAGCAGAAUCCAAAGUUUUCACUACCCUUUUUUAUAAUGAAAAAUGGUGGAUCUCAUACUCACAGAAUUGUUCCUCUAAACUCUAGGGCACUAUUUAACCCAAGUUUAAAGUAUGGUGCAAGAUGUCAAAGACAGGAGAGAGUAUUGUGGUUAUCAGCAUUUGUACUUAUUCUGUUGGCAGAACUCAGGUUCUAUCCCAACACAACAAAAAAGCAUUUUUUUACUUCAUAAUAAUAUUUUGAGUUAUUUUGCAUAUUAGUGUUGGCAAUGCCAAUAAGCACUGUAUGGAGAAAAUUAAUUGCAUUUUAAAUUAACAAGUAAAAGCAUUCUAAUGCAUAUGCUUUGGAGAGAGUGAAAAAUUCAAGAUGAGGCUCAAGAAAACUCACAGAGAAAAAAAAAAAAGGUUCCACAAUGGCUUUUUGUUUGUUUUCUGGAAAACUUCUGUAUUCCAAGCUAUUAUGAGGAUUGCUUAAUGUCUAGGAUUGGCAAGUGUUGUUUGUGAAAGGAUGCAGGUGAGCUGCUUGCUGUUGAGAAAUGAGGUAGUGUGCUUCUCCUGACAGGGGGGCCAGGCAGGGUGGUGUGGGUAUGAAAUUAUUGGUUUACUGGCAGGAGCAGUAGUGUUUUGAGAAGUUAGCCAGGAUCUUAUGAGAAACUUGGAAGCUCUUCUGGAGGGGAGGGAUGGACGCUCAGGUACAUGCUGGAGGAGGUGAAGAGGAAGAAGCAAACUAGAGAACAUGACAAGGCACAAAAGGAAAAUGGGAAGGGGAGGAAAUUGUGAAGGGGAGCUGUCAGGAGAUGUGUGGGUGAGGGGAGAAGAGCAUAAGAGAAGUGAACUGGGCAGCUGCUGAUUGAGACUGACCAGGCAGGGGGAGGGCAAACAGCAAUACCCAACCCUCAGCCAUGAAAGGCUGAAGUGCCUUUGUUGUAUUCACCCAAGCUAUGGCAGCCAGCUGUGUGAAUUGAUGCGUCACAGAAACACCUUGGGGUUUGUCUUGUAAAGUGUCUCUUUGCAGCACUCUGUCUGCACACUGUGAAACUUUUUACACAGGGCAGGAGCUUUUCAAACCAAGAAUCUCUGUGACUGGUUCACCUGGAAAGAGACCCCUCUGGGAGGCACCGUUCCCCUUGCCUCACUGAGAAACAGUGUGAGACUUGCCCAGCUCUGUACAGGCUGAGGUGACUCAAGUGACACCCAAAGCCAAGCUCCAAGUGGCACAAAUAGCAGCAGAACAGGCCCUGGAGUGUUUUAGGCUUCACGAGCUGUGAGAGCCCUGAAAGUUCUCUCCAAGGGUAAUUCAGCCUUUGGUUUCCUUCCAAACUGUCAAGUCUGCUCUUGUAUCUAAAACUCUUUUUUUCCAAGACUUAUGGUGGGGUAUUUGAGUUGUAUGGUUGUAUGGAAUAGCAGCUCUUGUGCCUCAAUGGUGACUUGUGGCUAGUUUUUUCCUACCUGUAUCUCUUCUUUUGUCUUAGUGCGCUCUGGUUGUCACUCUGAAGAUCUGAGACUUCAGCUGUGGUCAUGUGGCCUCUAAGAGGAACCAUGCAGGUUUUGGUUUAGGUUUGUCACGUAUGAACAUGCUUACCUUGUCAUGUCAUGGUUCACUGUCCUUCAGCCCUCACUCAAAACCAAUGUCGUUGUCUAUUUCCACUCUGCUCCAUUUUGCAGCCUCUUUUCGGAACAGUAUCAGGGCAAACUGACCUGAGUCAAACUUGUCUCUUGGCCUUUUCCCACCACUGCAGAGUGUGAAGGAGCAGUGAGAACAGAAGGCAGUCUGCACUGGUGUAAAUGCAGGAUACCAGCCUUUUCCUAGAUUUUCCCCAUUUGCUUUCCACAAAGAAAAAAAAAAUUUUUUUUUGUUAUUUCACUCCUUUGGAAAAACAUGCAAACAAGAAUAGGGGCAGGAUUGUAUUUGCUGAUGGUUUGGGGAGGUUUUUCUUUGGAGCUUCUGUCCUCUCCCUGAGUUUCAAAGCACUGGCUCUCCAGGACAGUGUAUUUAGGAGUCUUGUACUCAAAGCUGACCUCUGUAGUGCCACCUCUGCUUGCCUGUCAGUCGGGUGACAGAGGUAUUGCUGUUCUUUCCUCAAUGUAAUGGGGCUCAGAGCUGCCUCUGCCAUGGCAGAAAACAUGAUGUUUUGUUCAGAGUUUCCCAUGAAAUGUCUGCAGCUGAAGCCCUGCCUUACAUUUGCAAAAACAUUGAAAAAGUGACGUCUAGCUCUUAUUGCUGCAAUCUGUUUAUUUCCUGUCAAGUACCUCACAUACUAACUUAAAAAA